UACGUAGGGGUGCAAGCGUUAAUCGGAAUUACUGGGCGUAAAGCGUGCGCAGGCGGUUGUGCAAGACAGAUGUGAAAUCCCCGGGCUCAACCUGGGAAUUGCAUUUGUGACUGCACGGCUAGAGUGUGUCAGAGGGGGGUAGAAUUCCACGUGUAGCAGUGAAAUGCGUAGAGAUGUGGAGGAAUACCGAUGGCGAAGGCAGGUCUGCUGGGCUGACACUGACGCUCAUGCACGAAAGCGUGGGGAGCAAACAGG
rnacentral:rRNA from 1 species